CAGCCGCCGCGGGAAUACGUAGGGUGCGAGCGUUAAUCGGAAUUACUGGGCGUAAAGCGUGCGCAGGCGGUUCGUUAAGACAGAUGUGAAAUCCCCGGGCUUAACCUGGGAACUGCAUUUGUGACUGGCGAGCUAGAGUAUGGCAGAGGGGGGUAGAAUUCCACGUGUAGCAGUGAAAUGCGUAGAGAUGUGAGGAAUACCGAUGGCGAAGGCAGCCCCCUGGGCCAAUACUGACGCUCAUGCACGAAAGCGUGGGGAGCAAACAGGAUUAGAUACCCCCGUAGUCCCUGUCUCUUAUACA
rnacentral:rRNA from 1 species